rnacentral:rRNA from 1 species
AGUGAACGCUGGCGGUAGGCCUAACACAUGCAAGUCGAACGGCAGCACAGUAAGAGCUUGCUCUUACGGGUGGCGAGUGGCGGACGGGUGAGGAAUACAUCGGAAUCUACUUUUUCGUGGGGGAUAACGUAGGGAAACUUACGCUAAUACCGCAUACGACCUACGGGUGAAAGCAGGGGAUCUUCGGACCUUGCGCGAUUGAAUGAGCCGAUGUCGGAUUAGCUAGUUGGCGGGGUAAAGGCCCACCAAGGCGACGAUCCGUAGCUGGUCUGAGAGGAUGGUGGGCCACAGUGGAGUGGAGACAGGGCCCAGACUCCUCGGGGAGGCACGGGGGGGGAAUUGUGGAAAAUGGGCGCAAGCUUGACCCAGCCAUCCGGGGGGGGGAAAGAGGGCCUUGGGUUUUUAAGCCCUUUUGGCUGGAAAAAAAAAGCAGCGGGUAAAUCCCCCGUUGUCCUGACGGUACCCAAAAAAUAAGCACCGGCAAACUUGGGC